ACUCCUACGGGAGGCAGCAGUGGGGAAUAUUGCACAAUGGGCGGAAGCCUGAUGCAGCAACGCCGCGUGCGGGAUGACGGCCUUCGGGUUGUAAACCGCUUUCGCCUGUGACGAAGCGUGAGUGACGGUAAUGGGUAAAGAAGCACCGGCUAACUACGUGCCAGCAGCCGCGGUGAUACGUAGGGUGCGAGCGUUGUCCGGAUUUAUUGGGCGUAAAGGGCUCGUAGGUGGUUGAUCGCGUCGGAAGUGUAAUCUUGGGGCUUAACCCUGAGCGUGCUUUCGAUACGGGUUGACUUGAGGAAGGUAGGGGAGAAUGGAAUUCCUGGUGGAGCGGUGGAAUGCGCAGAUAUCAGGAGGAACACCAGUGGCGAAGGCGGUUCUCUGGGCCUUUCCUGACGCUGAGGAGCGAAAGCGUGGGGAGCGAACAGGCUUAGAUACCCUGGUAGCUACGAG
rnacentral:rRNA from 1 species